rnacentral:rRNA from 1 species
UACAGAGGGUGCGAGCGUUAAUCGGAAUUACUGGGCGUAAAGCGUGCGUAGACGGCUAUCUAAGUCGGGUGUGAAAGCCCCGGGCUCAACCUGGGAACUGCAUCCGAGACUGCAUUGCUAGAGUAUGGGAGAGGGAAGCGGAAUUUCUGGUGUAGCAGUGAAAUGCGUAGAUAUCAGAAGGAACAUCAGUGGCGAAGGCGGCUUCCUGGACCAAUACUGACGAUCAGGUGCGAAAGCGUGGGGAGCAAACAGG